rnacentral:rRNA from 1 species
AUUGAACGCUGGCGGCAUGCUUUACACAUGCAAGUCGAACGGCAGCGCGGGCUUCGGCCUGGCGGCGAGUGGCGAACGGGUGAGUAAUACAUCGGAACGUGCCCAGUAGUGGGGGGUAGCUCGGCGAAAGCCGGAUUAAUACCGCAUACGACCUGAGGGGGAAAGCGGGGGAUCUUCGGACCUCGCGCUAUUGGAGCGGCCGAUGGCAGAUUAGCUAGUUGGUGGGGUAAAGGCCUACCAAGGCGACGAUCUGUAGCUGGUCUGAGAGGACGACCAGCCACACUGGGACUGAGACACGGCCCAGACUCCUACGGGAGGCAGCAGUGGGGAAUUUUGGACAAUGGGCGAAAGCCUGAUCCAGCAAUGCCGCGUGUGUGAUGAAGGCCUUCGGGUUGUAAAGCACUUUUGGCGGGAACGAAAAGGACUGUGCCAAUACCACGGUUCGAUGACGGUACCCGCAGAAUAAGCACCGGCUAACUACGUG